UACGUAGGGCGCAAGCGUUAUCCGGAAUUAUUGGGCGUAAAGAGCUCGUAGGCGGUUUGUCGCGUCCGCUGUGAAAGCCCGGAGCUCAACUCCGGAGGGUCGGUGGAUACUGCCAGUCUUGAAGGUGCUAGGGGGAGAUGGAAUUACCGGUGUAGCGGUGAAAUGCGUAGAUAUCGGUAGGAACACCAGUGGCGAAGGCGGUCUCCUGGCGCAUUCUUGACGCUGAGGAGCGAAAGCUAGGGGAGCAAACGGG
rnacentral:rRNA from 1 species